AACGAACGCUGGCGGCAGGCUUAACACAUGCAAGUCGAGCGCCCCGCAAGGGGAGCGGCAGACGAGUGAGUAACGCGUGGGAACGUACCCUUUGCUACGGAAUAGCUCCGGGAAACUGGAAUUAAUACCGUAUGUGCCCGACGGGGGAAAGAUUUAUCGGCAAAGGAUCGGCCCGCGUUGGAUUAGCUAGUUGGUGGGGUAAUGGCCUACCAAGGCGACGAUCCAUAGCUGGUCUGAGAGGAUGAUCAGCCACAUUGGGACUGAGACACGGCCCAAACUCCUACGGGAGGCAGCAGUGGGGAAUAUUGGACAAUGGGCGCAAGCCUGAUCCAGCCAUGCCGCGUGAGUGAUGAAGGCCUUAGGGUUGUAAAGCUCUUUCACCGGAGAAGAUAAUGACGGUAUCCGGAGAAGAAGCCCCGGCUAACUUCGUGCCAGCCGCCGCGGUAAUAC
rnacentral:rRNA from 1 species